GACGAACGCUGGCGGCGUGCUUAACACAUGCAAGUCGAACGGUAAGGCCCUUCGGGGUACACGAGUGGCGAACGGGUGAGUAACACGUGGGUGAUCUGCCCUGCACUUCGGGAUAAGCCUGGGAAACUGGGUCUAAUACCGGAUAGGACCCUGGGAUGCAUGUCCUGGGGUGGAAAGCUUUUGCGGUGUGGGAUGGGCCCGCGGCCUAGCAGCUUGUUGGUGGGGUGAUGGCCUACCAAGGCGACGACGGGUAGCCGGCCUGAGAGGGUGACCGGCAAAACUGGGACUGGGAUACGGCCCAGACGGCUACGGGAGGCAGCAGUGGGGAAUAUUGCACAAUGGGCGCAAGCCUGAUGCAGCGACGCCGCGUGAGGGAUGACGGCCUUCGGGUUGUAAACCUCUUUCAGCACCGACGAAGCGCAAGUGACGGUAGGUGCAGAAGAAGGACCGGCCAACUACGUGCCAGCCGCCGCCGUAA
rnacentral:rRNA from 1 species